ACAACAGUGACAGAUCUAAAGCCUGAUAGAACAGUGACAGUCAGGUGGUCUCUACUCGCUUUUGAUGGAAAGUGUAACUCACACAUCAUUAGAGGUGUUACACUGAGCUGGUGGAUGAGACAAGUACUGAUCUGCAGGGAGACUCCAGAUACCAGGUCACACAACGUUCUCCCUGUGACUUCACUCUGUGACAAUCCAGAGGGAGGACAACAACAGGAAGUGGACACGUCAGCUGACUGAAGGAGGAAAAGUAAAAGACCUUCAUUGACUUCACCUCCAUGUUCUCGGGAAGUACCCCAUGCCAGAGAGCAGGAUCCACAACUACUACAUGUAUCAGCUCUGCAAGUCUCUGGACCACAUACACAAUCAUGGGCUCUUCCACCGGUACAUCAAACCAGAGAACAAUCUGAUCAAGCCUCUGGCCUCUCUUUCCUGGGUCAAACGAGCUGGACCAGGGCUCAAAGAUACAUGAUGUCCCUGGAACGCCCAAAGUAGCUGUCCUCCGCAAAUUCAAGCCGUGAGCAGAGACCUCUUAUCAUGACUGCUACUUUGUUAUUGAUAGAAGUCACUGCUUGAACAUAGCCUAACUUUGACAUAUUCUGUCAGUUUCUGGAAAAGGCGUCUAAUUCCCUUUCAACCAGGUCUCAUACAAUGCCCUUCAACUUUCAUAGAGAACAACUGUGGGACAUGUAUAUGUCCCUAUUCCCUAUGUAGUGCACUACUUUUGACCAGGGCCAAUAGAGCUCUAUACUAUAUAGGGAAUAGGGUUUCAUUUGGGACGCACAGCAAGACAGGUUUAUAGAUAUAUAUUUUACCAUCUCCCCUUUUCAGAGAACAACUAUAUUUUACUAUCCACAUACAGUAUAGGCCUGUAUAGAGGCGGCAGGGUAGCCUAGUGGUUAGAGCGUUCAAAUCCCCAAGCUGACAAGGUACAAAUCUGUCGUUCUGCCACAGACAGGCAGUUAACCCACUGUUCCUAGGCCGUCAUUGAAAAUAAGAAUUAGUUCUUAACUGACUUGCCUAGUUAAAGGUUAAAAUGUUACAGUAGAGUGCUGUCCUCUUAAUGUCCACACACUCUCCCUUCACCCAUCCAUAUUUUUAUAGGAUUAAUGUGGCGAGCUGAUUGAAAAGCAAAGCUAUCCAUGUUACUAGGCCCACAGUUGAACUUGGGACGUAUUAAGGCAGUGUGAUGUGGUGACUCAUGUAAAGUGUGUGUGUGUUGUGCCAUGGCAAGCUGCCAGACAGAGUCAGCAGGAUCCUGAAGAGAGAGGGUGCUGGGGACCACCCUAGGCAUGGCAGACUGGUGACCCCUCACAGACAUAUGUAAACCCAUGUGGCACUUAAAGAUGCUAAUCUAGAACUGUGGUACACUGUAGCCUACUGUACACAGACAUCCACAAUACUUCCCCUUAGACACCCUCUCUACUUGUAUAAACCUUGCUGUCUGUCUCCAGCAUUUGCAACAUUGUUUCAAUAUUCAAAUUCGAUCUCCAGCUGUCCGAUAGUAAUGACUAGCUCCUCAGAACAAGUGUCCUGACGAGAGAGCACAUUUCUAUGCCAGGUGAAAUCGCACCUCAUCUCAUUGUUAUGGAUGUGUCCAAAUUAACUUCACUAGAAAACAGAUUAAACAAAGGCAAAUGAGGCUACUGUUGUUAUUCUGUCUGCACUGUUUGACGUGACGUAGUUGGCUAGCAUUAAGCAAGGGGUAAUAACGUUACCAACCAGUUGGGCAAUGGAACAUUUAGAACCAACGACUGGGUCGCGUCCAUAGAUACAGAACAAAAAUACUUAAUGACUGGGUCACAUCUGGCAACCGAAACGAUAGAAUGAACGACCAGCCGGCUUCAGUAGCAACCUUAGAUUUGUGUCAGGACUAUAUCUUGUGAAAGGAUGAAAUAGCAUGAAUACUUUUGUGAAAUUAUGUCAAUCAUUAUUUGAAUAUGUUCGUAAUCUAUUGUAUAAAAGUGGUUUGCCCCGACAACACCUGUGCCAAUACAUACUCCAAAUACAGGCUUCCCUGGCAUUAUCACUUAAAUAUUGUACUUGUUAGUUGAUUUCAAUCUCUGGUUGGACAAAAGUUAUAUUUAUCCUAUUCUGAUAAAGAUGAUUAUAGAUGC